UUAAAUUGAAGAGUUUGAUCAUGGCUCAGAUUGAACGCUGGCGGCAGGCCUAACACAUGCAAGUCGAACGGUAACAGGAAACAGCUUGCUGUUUCGCUGACGAGUGGCGGACGGGUGAGUAAUGUCUGGGAAACUGCCUGAUGGAGGGGGAUAACUACUGGAAACGGUAGCUAAUACCGCAUAAUGUCGCAAGACUAAAGAGGGGGACCUUCGGGC
rnacentral:rRNA from 1 species